AUUGAACGCUGGCGGCAUGCCUUACACAUGCAAGUCGAGCGGCAGCGCGGGGGCAACCCUGGCGGCGAGCGGCGAACGGGUGAGUAAUACAUCGGAACGUGUCCUGUCGUGGGGGAUAACCAGUCGAAAGACUGGCUAAUACCGCAUGAGAUCGAAAGAUGAAAGCGGGGGACCGCAAGGCCUCGCGCGAUUGGAGCGGCCGAUGUCGGAUUAGCAAGUUGGCGGGGUAAAAGCCCACCAAGGGGACGAUCCGUAGCUGGUUUGAGAGAACGACCAGCCACACUGGGACUGAGACACGGCCCAGACUCCUACGGGAGGCAGCAGUGGGGAAUUUCGGACAAUGGGGGCAACCCUGAUCCAGCCAUGCCGCGUGUGUGAAGAAGGCCUUCGGGUUGUAAAGCACUUUCGGCCGGAACGAAAUCGCGCGGGCUAUUACCCCGCGUGGAUGACGGUACCGGAAGAAGAAGCACCGGCUAACUACGUGCCAGCCGCCGCCGUAA
rnacentral:rRNA from 1 species